rnacentral:lncRNA from 1 species
CCUCUAGGGAGCCCAUCUCUAACAAGGAUCCUUGAACCUGCCUCCACGUGAGUAGGAGACAGUCAUGGCCCAGCGCCAUCCGCGAGUCCGCCGGUUCUCUCUCCUGAAAGCCACACUUCUAGUCUUCCGGUUUGUCCACUCCCCCAGACUGAGAGCUUCGCCAAGUUAGAAUGGAGGCUGGUGUUACUGUAUCUUGCCAUUUUCCCAGAGAAGCUGGAAUCAAGACUUAUGAGAGAAGUCCCCAGGAUUCCAAACAUGUGACCCAAACAGUGCGCACAGCUAUGUACACCCCUCAUCCAAUCUCGGAACCACCGAUUGCAAGCUCUUAAAUAACA